rnacentral:lncRNA from 1 species
UCAAUCGAACCUAGGCCAUGGUAGGACAAAAGAAAACAAAGAAGAAAAUGUCAAAAAAAUGUAGAAAGAUGUAACACCCUGACCCAGGUGUUAGAAGAAUAAACGAAUAAAAUAAAUAAAGAAAUCCUAAAUCGAAAAUGAGAUAGCAUCUCAAAAUCAAACAAAACAACAAACAUCUUUGUCGCGUUUGGAACCUAAAUUUCUUUUGUUAAUUUGCGGCUGCACCCAAAACUUGAUCGGGCUGCCUACGUACCCUUUUAAAGGGAUCAAGCCACUCGUAGUUCAACAUUUUAAUCUACUUCUCUACCUUCACUAACAACAUCACAUUUACCACCAUAAGUCCAAAAUCAAAACCCUACUUAUGGACUCUCAAGAACCAGUUCAUGAUACACACCAAUUUAAAAUAUUUUCUCCUAUACCCAUUAAAUCAAAUCAACCCGGCCAUACAAAACCUCAUACAUCAUCAAGGCUAUACCAAUUUAUUAUCAUUCUAAUAUAAACCUCUAGGAGAAUAGUUCAAGAACUUAACUAAACCCCACACUUAACUCGCAAAACAACAUACUCAAGUGCCAAAGAGUGUGUAUAAAUAAUUAUGCACACAUACUUAUAUAUAAAACUCAACUUAUGCAAAUCAUCAACAUGUAUUCUUUCACCAUGAACCCAAGUUUACUAAACAUUCUAACUAGAUUUACUAUGGACACCCAUUAGAUAUACUAUGGACACACAUUUCAACUAACACCAAUCCCAUAUCCAUACAUAACACAGCAAUAUUCACUUCAAUGCAUAAGCACAAUCUAACAACUGUCUAACAGUAAUAUUCAUAUACCCGGUUAUCAAUUUUAACCGUUAAUAUCGCUAGUAUUCGGAAAAUCCGAAACUUAACCUACAUUACUCCAAAAAUUGCUAACUUUCCACCAAUGGGUUUCUCUCAUUUUUAGCAAUUUAAUAAGCAUGAAAAACUGUCCAAUCUCCGGCCACCCCCCAAUCGUAACCAAAAUUUAACAGAACUUUCCUCUCAACAUUUCGAACAAUUUUCAUGAACAACACUAAGCUCAAUUCUAGCUCUAAAUAGUUCAUUUGAUCAAGAACAAUAAAACCCGAUUUGGGGCUAGAAACCCUAAAAUCUCGAAAUCUCAAAUUCUCCUCACACACACCAUGAAUCGAGUUACAAGCUUCUAGAGGAAUGUUGUACUAAUCAAACCCAACCUAAUCAUAUAAAGAACUCACCGAUUGGUGGCCUGAGGAGGGAGAAAUCCGGCUAAAACAGCGACGAACAGUCGCACCUUCUCGCCGUGAUUUCUCCCAAACGGCAGCGAGAGGGACGCUGUCACCACUCUAGAUCGAUAGGUCUCCUACUUAGCUUCCUGCCGAUACCCGGAUCACCGCCCAAUUCAGCCUGACGACGGCGCACGAAGCAGAGAACAGUGGCUUGAGAGAGAGGAUCGCGCGGGAGGAGAGAGAGAGGUGCGGUAAGUUUCUAAUUUUUCUAUCUUCCACCUUCAGUAAGUUUCUCUUUUUAUACCUUUUACCAAAACAGUAACCUCCCGUUUUUAGACCAUAACUUUCUCAUACGAACUCUAAUUUGAGCGUGCCACGUGUCCACGAACUCGUAUUAAUGUUCUCUACAGCUUCCAUAAAGGAAGUUUUACCAAAUUAUCGACUUAACGAAAAGUCAACUUUUUGAGUCAUUUACGGUAAAACGGUUACAAGAAAUAAUAAUUGAAAAUUUACUGUAAACUUCAUAAAUUCACAGAGCAUAGCUCGUUGCUCCGGAAAAUAAUCCGGGCAUACCGGUGAGCUCGUAUAAACGUGUACCACGACUUCGGAGUUUUAAAUCCACUAUUUACCGUUUUCAGAAAAACUCGAAAACAACUCGAGCAAUCACUAUUUAAAUCUCUGAGCGCGAAUAAAGAAAAAUCUGCGGUAACUCAUAACCCCGAACAGUAACCUUUUAGGUACAGGGUAUUACAAUCUUCCCUCCUAAAAGAAAUUUCGUCCUCGAAAUUUCACGAUUGGUUAAACGGUCAAUACCCAUAACAAUUCACUUUCUUUUCUAUGUCGGGCUUCAGUACCCAUAACAUAUUUUUCCAUUUCCCUACAUGGGAACUCGACUUUUACUAGUCUCAUAAAUCAAUUCCGAAGCUAAUCAUCUUAUGUACCAAGGGUUCCUAUUUUACUAGGACACCACUCUACUCCGAGUAAUUAUUUCGCUUCCUCAAAACAAAUAGGAGAUAACAAUAUCUAAUCGUCGUCAUUACACAAUAAUAUCCCAUCAACAUGGUCUAUGGAUUACUUGAUCCGGAUAUAUUCAUUGCAUAAACACGCCAUAAUCUAGGACAUUAAUUAAGUCCAAAUAGGCAUAAAUAUAAUUACCUACCCAACCAAGAAGUCAAGUCAUCCUAGACUUAUCGACUCAACAAUGAAUGAGUCAACGUCGUCGUCAAUAUUUUACAAUCUUCGACGACCAGAUAAAAACAUAAGGAAAUGUAUCUCUCUAUCAAUCAAAUAGUCGUAACCAAUAAACGACUCACAAGCACAAGGAGAUCAAUCCGCGUAAAAGAUCAAUGUACACAAAACAGCUAUACUUUCAGCCUUCCAAACCUCAAGUAUGAGGUAACACCAUGGAACUCUGUAAUCGGAUUCACAUAAAUCCACGAUUUAUCGUGUGAGUAGAAGGUAUCUCGUCACCCAACCUGAGUUUGUUAUGCACUCGCUAUCCACGAACUCAAUUCUAAUUAUCAUUUACGUGACAUUAAGUCUAUAAAUCAUCGACACGAUAUAAGCUGCUUUUCUAGCUUCCCACAUCUUAAAAUAAUGAGAAACAUACGAUGGCACUCUAUAACCAUGUUUAACUUCAAAAUUCAUUGUCUAAAAACAUCAUAGUAAGUAUCUUAUACGACCUAUAUAUGUCGUAUACUUACAUAUGACCGCGUCCUUACAUUAACAUAACAAUUCCUUGAACAUGAAGAAACGAUAACUACCAAUUAGCUUAUCAUAACUAUCGCUCAAAAUGAGCAAUACAACAACAUAGCACAAACAUGUUCUCUAAUUCAGAAUAUAUCGUAUAACCAAAGACUCAGACCACACGACGCUAUGUCAUCAUGGUAGUCUGUUAAUUCCCACUGAAGAUACUAUACGGACUAGACCAGCACAAUGGUCAUUGUCUAGAAUCUAUUGCGCCAACAUAUAUUUUACCAAUCAAGGCCAAUUUCAAUGUCCAAAUUCCAGUAAUCCACACUAACAGUACUUACCGACUCGAUUCCAGAAUCAAUAUAAGUAGCACGUGGAAUUUACGAACAUCAGUUAGUAACCAAACUUCAAUAUAAUUAUCAUCCAAAACUGGUAUGAUCGGUCUCAAAUACCACUAGUAUCUGAGAAAGGUCCUGUGGGACCACUUUUAAGGAAAUUCUUUCGAAAAUUCGGCAUAACCUCCUCUAAAAGUGGACUACCCUUGACCUGUAAAAAUGAUAUACAUAUCUCAGCAUAAACAAAUCUCUGGAGCAUACUGCUCCCUAUAUAUCCACACUGUCCAAUAGACUAUAUAAUCAUCCAUCUUAUAUCCAUAAAUGCAUAUUUUUUUAUUUUUUUAUUUUAUUUGAUUUUUUUCUGCAAAUCGGAUAUGCAUUUGCUCAUACUUACUCAACAGAGUAAUUCAUCAUUACAAAUCAUGAAAACCGAUUAAUAAUAAUCAAAAUAUGAAAACCACGACUUAUAUCAAUAAGGUAUAAAACCAUACCUGCUCACACAAGUGAGAGCCACAUUUUUCGUUUCAUAGCAACAUCGUGCAAUCGCCGCAAUCAGCAGUAAAUCUCGGCGCUCAGCCAUCAACCCCACACUUGGUGGUAAUACCCCGCACUCUCGGCGGUGAAAAUCUGGCGCACGGCCGUAAAACCUCGCACACGGCAAUACUGUAUCCCUGCCCUCGGCAGUUAUCCCGGCACUCGGCUGUAAAUCCCCACUCUCAGUGGUAAUCAUCUUAGAAGUCCGCAAUCAGAUCUGGCAUUGGCAGCAAUACCCGACACUUGUGUGGUAAAACCCGGCACUUGGCCGUAACCAGUGUGGUAAGCCUACGCCCCCCAGGCAAGACGUGGUCGCACCCACACUAAACCCCGCACGUGGCGGUAACCCAGUACGGUAUCCUACACCCCGGGGCAAGACGAGGUCGCACCCGUACUGUAAACCCAGCCGAAGCUGUAAACCCAACAUAUAGCUGUAAACCCAACCGAAGCUGUAAACCCAGCAUAUAGCUGUAAAGCCAGCCAAAGCUGUAAAUCACCCCACACAACAUGCCAGAAGGGUAUAACCGUCAAUACUAAAGUUGGAAUCGCCUGCAUCAAACCACUAUACCAACAUUAGUAACAUGCUUAAACCGUUGCACAUACUAAUUGAGUUCCUAUAGAACAAUUAUAAUAUAACCGCUUGUAUCAAAUUAUUCCAGAAAUUUCUUUAACACAUAACUGCAUCCUCGAGAGAAUUGCACUGCAUCAUACUUAUAGCAAGCAACUCAAAUAAAAGGAUUAGUGAUUUAUAUCAUAGAACCACAUAUAUGAUGACCCAAACAUAACAUCUCCAAAAAUAACUUUAAAUCUUAUAUCAAUCAAUGCACUGUGUGAUGCUAUAAUUUAAAUAUAUAUAAUGGUGCAACAUCCAGAUCUUAUCUCUUCACAGCACUUAACAAACUCAUUUCUAUGAAAACAGUCAAUCUCACUUCCAGCUCUAAGAAUCAGUUACUCAAGUUCCUCUAAUUAUGGAUGCAUAACCCAUUUAAAACGACAUCAAUAAAUGUAAAUAUAUAUGCUUACAUACUAGCAAGCAUCAGUUCCCAAUUCUAUCUAAUAUAAAAUUGCAUAACAAGCAAAACUUCAUAUACAUUAGUGCUACCCUAUAUUUUUUUCCAAAAGCAAAGUUUUGCACUCCUACAGACCAAAAUAACCCCAACAUCAUAUUCAGUAUUAAAGCCAAAACAGUUCAGACAAUGAUUUGAUCAUCAUCACGGGAAUAAUAUGUUAAUCCACAUAAUAUGAUGUCUACAUGUUAGCAUACCACACUAACAUGCAAGAAAAUCUUAUCACAGAACAUCCCCACUCUAUUGGUGACCAAUAAAUCUGUUGGUCCAGAAUUUAUGCAAUACUAUAUACCUAAAUCAGUUUGCUUUGGAAGCUUGCCAAACCGAUCACGAAUAACUGAAGGUUCAUAACUUCAGAAAAUAUCUAACAGGUGAGGCCAGCUCACCUUAACUAGUAAAAUCUCUAGCUUAACAAUUCAAACAGAACCUUAUACUAAUGAAAUCCAAAUAAACAGCAAAACCACCCAAAUAUUUUUGUUGAAACUAGUAAUGGAAACAGAGGAAUACAAUUUCUCAUGAAUCCCCUCAUACGAUCAUCCCUCUGCCAAUAUUUCAAAUUUAAUUCUGGACACACAACACAGAUAUACAAAAAAAAAAAAAAAAUCAAAACUUUCGGCCAUCGAUCACUGCAUCCACUUAGGUAGCUAACUAAUGUAAAGUCACCAAGGUUCUCAAUAACAAAGCCACAAGUCUCCCCUACGACAACGUUAUGAAAAGCACAUAAAUACCACAAAACUUGGAUUUUGGAAACCCAUGAAAGAAUUAGGGCCUAACAAAGAGGUCUGGAACAGGUGGACUUAUGCAACUUGAAUCAUAUCACCAAGUCAAAUUACUAGACUCCAAUCCUAAUAGAUCACUAGGAGGGCUGAGAGCGUUAACAUAAGAAUAAGACCUUCAGUAAAUUUUUUUUUUUUUUUUUUUUUUUUUUUUUUUUUUUAAAAGCUCAUGCCUCCCUAGUCAUCAAAAUGCCAGAUCAGAUAAUCAAAUAAAUCAACUCACAAGUAUAUGCCAAUAUACGCCUAAUAGGGGUUGAAACGACUAAGACCAUUUCCUCACUAGUUGGAAUCUCAUUUAUGGUUCGAACCUGCAUAUCACAUUGGAGCAAUAUCAUACUUAAAGCCAGCAGCCUAUGGAUAGUAACCUGAUCACUAAAACUCACCACCAUACAUUGGUUACCCAAUACCAGAACUUCAUCUUAAACUGCAAUUUACUGUUCAGCAGUCAACACAUUUGUAGCUUAAAGUAGCAAGAAGCACAUCUAGGGUAAGUAUGAGGAAUGAAUAAGGCACAAGAGCCUUAGCCUAACCCAAUUGACAAGGCUUGCAACAUAUAAUGUAUAUAUGCACACAACACACCGUAAAGCUAUAUAUCAACUCUAUCUCACUUUUAAACAAAUAUCAAACGAACAUCAACACUACCAUCUAACAAAAAUUCCUGAUCACAUAUGUAUGAUAUAUAUAUGUAUAGAUCAUAUAUUCAUAAGAAAAUUAAAUUACCUCUCUUUGUCAAAUAUUCGAAGCAAAGAAAGGUAUAACCCAACAGAAUCACAAAGUGAAACUUAUCACACACAACAUAAUAAAUUUGAUUAGAUCAAUACUUUCAGCUAUCAAUUACUGAUUCACCUCUGAUGAAAAACUACUGUAAAGGCUCAAAGUAAACGAGCACUCUGGUCAGACGAGUUGUUUAACUUACUACCUGAUAUCGAAACUAUACUUCCCACAACUUCUAACCCGGGAAUCAUGUCCCCGCUCUGAUACCACUCUGUAACACCCUGACCCAGGUGUUAGAAGAAUAAACGAAUAAAAUAAAUAAGGAAAUCCUAAAUCGAAAAUGAGAUAGGAUCUCAAAAUCAAACAAAACAACAAACAUCUUUGUCGCGUUUGGAACCUAAAUUUCUUUUGUUAAUUUGCGGCUGCACCCAAAACUUGAUCGGGCUACCUACAUACCCUUUUAAAAGGAUCAAGCCACUCGUAGUUCAACAUUUUAAUCUACUUCUCUACCUUCACUAACAACAUCACAUUUACCACCAUAAGUCCAAAAUCAAAACCCUACUUACGAACUCUCAAGAACCAGUUCAUGAUACACACCAAUUUAAAAUAUUUUCUCCUAUACCCAUUAAAUCAAAUCAACCCGGCCAUACAAAACCUCAUACAUCAUUAAAGCUAUACCAAUUUAUUAUCAUUCUAAUAUAAACCUCCAGGAGAAUAGUUAAACUCAUGAACUUAACCAAACCUCACACUUAACUCGCAAAACAACCUACUCAAGUGCCAAAGAGUGUGUAUAAAUAAUUAUGCACACAUACUUAUAUAUAAAACUCAACUUAUGCAAAUCAUCCACAUGUAUUCUUUCACCUUGAACCCAAGUUUACUAAACAUUCUAACUAGAUUUACCAUGGACACCCAUUAGAUAUACUAUGGACACAUAUUUCAACUAACACCAAUCCCAUAUCCAUACAUAACACUCCAAUAUCCACUUCAAUGCAUAAGCACAAUCCAACAACUGUCUAACAGUAAUAUUCCUAUACCCGGUUAUCAAUUUUAACCGUUAAUAUCGCUAGUAUUCGGAAAAUCCGAAACUUAACCUACAUUACUCCAAAAAUUGCUAACUUUCCACCAAUGGGUUUCUCUCAUUUUUAGCAAUUUAAUAAGCAUGAAAAACUGUCCAAAAAGUGGCAGCACCACCGCCAGCUCUGCCUGCUGCGGCGGCAGGCCAGCGGCCAAUCUCCGGCCACCCCCCAAUCGUCACCAAAAUUUGACAGAACCUUCCUCUCAACAUUUCGAACAACUUUCAUGAACAACACUAAGCUCAAUUCUAGCUCUAAAUAGUUUAUUUGAUCAAGAACAAUAAAACCCGAUUUGGGGCUAAAAACCCUAAAAUCUCGAAAUCUCAAAUUCUCCUCAUACACACCAUGAAUCGAGUUACAAGCUUCUAGAGGAAUGUUGUACUAAUCAAACCCAACCUAAUCAUAUAAAGAACUCACCGAUUGGUGGCCUGAGGAGGGAGAAAUCCGGCUAAAACAGCGACGAACAGUCGCACCUUCUCGCUGUGAUUUCUCCCAAACGGCGGCGAGAGGGACGCUGUCACCACUCUAGAUCGAUAGGUCUCCUCCUUAGCUUCCUGCCGAUACCCGGAUCGCCGCCCAAUUCGGCCUGACAGCGGCUCACGAAGCGGAGAACAGUGGCGGGAGAGAGAGGAUCGCGCGGGAGGAGAGAGAGAGGUGCGGUAAGUUUCUAAUUUUUCUAUCUUCCACCUUCGGUAAGUUUCUUUUUUAUACCCUUUACCAAAACAGUAACGUCCCGUUUUUAGACCAUAACUUUCUCAUACGAACUCCAAUUUGAGCGUGCCACGUGUCCACGAACUCGUAUUACCGUUCUCUACAACUUCUAUAAAGGAAGUUUUCCCAAAUUAUCGACUUAACGAAAAGUCAACUUUUUGGGUCAUUUACGGUAAAACGGUUACAAGAAACAAUAAUUGAAAAUUUACUGUAAACUUCAUAAAUUCACAUAGCAUAGCUCGUCGCUCCGGAAAAUAAUCCAGGCAUACCGGUGAGCUCGUAUAAACGUGUACCACGACUUCAGAGUUUUAAAUCCACUAUUUACCGUUUUCAGAAAAACUCGAAAACAACUCGAGCAAUCACUAUUUAAAUCUCUGAGCGCGAAUAAAGAAAAAUCCACGGUAACUCAUAACCCCGAACAGUAAUUUUUUAGGUACGGGGUAUUAAAAAAAGGAGGAUGGGGAAAGCUAGGAAUUGAACCCAAGUCAUAGUGGGAGAUGAAAGUCUUAACUAAGCCAACAAUGAUCUUUCUACAAAAUGCACAGCUAGUGGUAUAUAGCCUAAUUUUUUUUUUUUCUAGGCUUCAGCCCAUAGAGCCUACUAAGUAGAUCUGUCCCUGCCAUUUUGCUUGUGUUACAUUCACUUUCUUGUAUAAUCCAAGAGUGAAUGAGUUGUAUCACUUGUAUGACAUGCGCGUGGAGUGCAGUUUCUCUAUUUGUAAGGUAUAUUUGAUUAGGUUUCUAGUCCUAGUUUGAAAUUG